GCUACUUUUAAAGUCCAUGUAAUCAUGGGAAGCCGGAACAGGUGUGAGUGUGUGGUGCAUGACUGGAUCUUGUUGUCCAUAUACCGGCAGAUUUGUAAUUCUAUGUGAUUUGUGAGUUGUCAGAUGUGGCAGCAGAAGAAUAAACAUGAGGUCAUGUGACUCCACACAUGGUAGGGAAAAAAAUGUAAAAAAUUGACCUGGAAAAAUUAGAUCGAUUAUAUGUUCUGAAUGUCGAUUCCUUUUCAAUUUAUUGCCCAGCCCUCAGUGUAUCACCAGAAACCAUUUUGUUUUGCAUGUGUUUUUUUUUUGUUUGCCUCUUAAAGUGUUGGAAGCUGUUGACUUGCAUUUUCUAAAUCAUUAUAGACCACACCUAAAAAUCUUCCAUAAAUACUCUACUGAAGUAAAAAAAAAAAAAAGUAUAUCUACUGUAUAUCUUCUAUGACCCGACGGUGAAUAAACUAGCAACA
rnacentral:lncRNA from 1 species